UACGGGGGGAGCAAGCGUUGUUCGGAUUCAUUGGGCGUAAAGAGCUCGUAGGCGGCUUGGCAAGUCGGAUGUGAAAACUCCAGGCUCAACCUGGAGCCGCCAUUCGAUACUGCUAUGGCUAGAGUCCGGUAGGGGAGUGUGGAAUUCCCGGUGUAGCGGUGAAAUGCGCAGAUAUCGGGAGGAACACCGAUGGCGAAGGCAGCACUCUGGGCCGGUACUGACGCUGAGGAGCGAAAGCGUGGGGAGCGAACAGG
rnacentral:rRNA from 1 species